AGUCUCGGGUUAGACGUGUGUGCAAGUCCCUUGGAACAGGGUGCCACUGAGGGUGAGAGCCCCGUAGCGUGCAUGUCGACACCUGUGAGGCCCUUCUGACGAGUCGAGUUGUUUGGGAAUGCAGCUCUAAGUGGGUGGUAAAUUCCAUCUAAGGCUAAAUAUUGGCGAGAGACCGAUAGCGAACAAGUACUGUGAAGGAAAGAUGAAAAGCACUUUGAAAAGAGAGUGAAACAGCACGUGAAAUUGUUGAAAGGGAAGGGUAUUGGGCUCGACAUGGGAUUUACGCAUCGUUGCCUCUCGUGGGCGGCGCUCUGGGUUUUUCCUGGGCCAGCAUCGGUUUUCGUUGCAGGAUAAGGACAAUUGGAAUGUGGCUCCUCGGAGUGUUAUAGCCUUUUGUAGAUGCUGCGUAUGGGGACCGAGGGCUGCGGCGGACUCGUUUCGUCUCGGAUGCUGGCACAACGGCGCAAUACCGCCCGUCUUGAAACACGGACCA
rnacentral:rRNA from 1 species